rnacentral:tRNA from 1 species
CCUCCAGUGGCUCAGAUGGUAAAGCGUCUGCCUGCAACGCAGGAGACCUGGGUUUGAUUCCUGGGUGGAGAA